rnacentral:rRNA from 1 species
AUUGAACGCUGGCGGCAUGCUUUACACAUGCAAGUCGAACGGUAACAGGCCGCAAGGUGCUGACGAGUGGCGAACGGGUGAGUAAUGCAUCGGAACGUGCCCAGUCGUGGGGGAUAACGCAGCGAAAGCUGUGCUAAUACCGCAUACGAUCUAUGGAUGAAAGCGGGGGACCGUAAGGCCUCGCGCGAUUGGAGCGGCCGAUGUCAGAUUAGGUAGUUGGGGGGGUAAAGGCCUACCAAGCCGACGAUCUGUAGCUGGUCUGAGAGGACGACCAGCCACACUGGGACUGAGACACGGCCCAGACUCCUACGGGAGGCAGCAGUGGGGAAGUUUGGACAAUGGGCGCAAGCCUGAUCCAGCAAUGCCGCGUGCAGGAAGAAGGCCUUCGGGUUGUAAACUGCUUUUGUACGGAACGAAACGGUCUGGGUUAAUACCCUGGGCUAAUGACGGUACCGUAAGAAUAAGCACCGGCUAACUACGUGCCAGCCGCCGCAGUAAGAC